GCUACCUAUUGAAGGAUACACCCGACCCAUCCUUCAUUCAGGCGAAAAGAAGGCCGCAUUCGUCGACCGCAUUUGAAGGAGUCUUCGAAUUGGGACAGGCCGAGUCGCGGCGCUGUGACGUAACCGGCCGAAGAAUCCGGCCGAGCGCCCUCUGCUGCUGGAGGUCUGAACUCCAUACACCCGCUGCCGUGGAAACGGACAGCAGGCAGCGGCAGCCUCCACUCUCCCCCGGAGACGUUUCAUGAUCAGAAGCUCGAGGUGCAGCCAUGCCUGUCUCUCAGCUGUGGGCAGUGGAUGUGUAUGGGCAGGUCUACAGCCUGUCCACAGCGGGGCAGCAGUGGGAGAAGUGCAGCAAUGCCCACAUGGAGUUCAAACGGGUCACAGCAACUCAGCAGUGCUGCUGGGGCAUUGCCUUUGACAACAGCGUCUACCUAAACGUCCACGCUUCUGAGCUGCCCAUCCGCUACCAGGAGGAGACCUAUGAAAACCAGCGAUGGAAUCCAGUUGAUGGUUUCUCUGAUCAUCUGCUGCCCAGCGACCGCUGGCAGUGGAGUGAUGUCACAGGUCUCCAACACCAGCCUCUGAACGGCUUCCAGCUGCCCUCCCACAGCUGGGACUGGGAGGACGACUGGUAUGUGGAUGAAAACUUUGAGGGAGAGCCCACAGAGAAAGAGGGCUGGACGUACGCCAUGGACUUUCCUGCCACCUACACCAAAGACAAGAAGUGGAACUCGUGUGUCCGUCGUAGGCGAUGGCUCCGCCACAGGAGGUACAAGGCCAUGGACACUUGGGCCAAGAUCCCCUCACAGCAGACGCCCUUCCCUGACCCCUUCAGUGACCUGAGCUGUGGAGGUUGGGAGAUCAGCGAGGAGCCCAGAGGACAGCUGUCCUUAUGGGCUGUGUCCCUGCAGGGAAAGGUGUGGUUCAGAGACGGAGUCUGCCACCAUAAUCCUGAGGGUUCUUCAUGGGAGGAGGUGCCCCUGCCUGGGGAGGUGGUCCAGAUCAGCUGUGGCCCAGGGGAUCUCGUCUGGGCCGUGCUGUGGGAUGGGCAACUCAUUGUCAGGCAGGGCAUUAGCCGUGACUGUCCUAAAGGCACUUCCUGGGUGGUGGUGGAGUCUCCGAGCCCUGAGGUGGGGGCCGCCCAUGUCGCCGUAGGAACCAGCGUAGCCUGGGCCGUGACCAAGAACAAUAAAGUGUGGUUCAGGCGUGGGGUGAACUCUCACAACCCUUGCGGUUCUGGUUGGAUCAGCAUGGUCGGGGAAAUGAUCAUGAUCAGCGUUGGGCUCAAUGAUCAGGUGUGGGCUAUCAGCUGUGAGGACCGGACGGUGUGCUUCAGACAAGGUGUGACUUCCUCUGAGCUGAGCGGUAAAACCUGGAAGGCCAUCAGCGUUCCUCGAGAUGGAGAGAGAUCCCAUUCCAGCGCUAGCGCCAACAGCGCGCAGAGCGCCGGUUGUUUCUUCUCUGGCGAGGUGCAGGAUGCGUCAGGAGUGACGAACGUGGACUCAGACACGGAGAGAGGAUCAGCAGAAGGAGCCUUCGGUCACGUCACAUCUACCGCCCCAGACCCCCUCGGGGAUGCCACCUUUAACCUGUCCAUUGAGGCUCCUACACCACGCAUCCCCAAGGUCACGAGCGACAGCUUCAUCUCUGAACUCGUCUCUGAUCGAGAGUCUGGAAAGGCUUCGAGAGAUGUGGGGUCAGCCAUUGUCCAGGAGGAGGAGGAGGAGGCGGCCAUCCCUGGUGAAGUACAUGUUCCCCCUCUGUCCUCGAACCAGUCCAGUGGUGCUCCUGACCCCCAGUGGAGUAAUGUAGACCUGGAGGAGACUCAGAUCCAGCAUGGUCAGUCUGCAGCUGACUCUUCCAGCCUAUCAUCAGUGGCCACCUACACCUUUGCCAUGGAGGACGGGGCUGAUGAGCGCCCUCUGUGGGCGUGGGUGAGCGGUGGGGGCUGCUCGGUGGACAGCCACUCUCCACUCAGCUGGUUUAACUGCUCUGGGACCACCUCGUCUUUGCUUCAGUCCGUCCAGUCCAUGAGUCUGUCCAUGACUCAGUCCCAGAUGGCCGCCUGGAGGAAACAAAUCUUUGAACAGCUCAGUGAAAGGUCCAAAAGAGAGCUGGAUAACUUCAGACACUACAAGCAAGCUGUUGAGCAGUCCGUGUGGGUGAAGAAGGGAGCCAUUCAGUGGUGGAGAGACUGGAAGCCACACAAGUGGGUGGAUGUUCAUUUAGCCUUGGAGCAGUUUUCAGGAGCAGAAGGCUACAAAGACGGCAUCUUAUUCAUCUAUUACAACUACUACGAUGAGAAGAAGUACCUGCACGCCUUCAUUAACGAAGUGACCAUCUUGGUUCCUGUGUUGAACAAGUCCAAACACACAUUUGCCCUCUACACCCCUGAGAGAACCAAGCAGAGGUGGCCCAUCAGACUGGCAGCUGCCACAGAGCUGGAGAUGCACGACUGGCUAGCUCUGCUCAGCGUGUCCUGCUGCAACUCCAGGGGAGUCCACGGUCCUCCGUCCAAGCAGGCAAUCUGGUCCACCACUUGUAAUGGGGACGUCUUCGUCAGCGAGCCGUCUCCUGCCCUGGAGGCUAAUCCUUACCCCACACCCAGUGAUCAGAUGUUCUGGAGGCAGGUCGGAGGUCACCUACGUCUAGUGGAGUGUAACAGCCUGGGGGUGGUGUGGGGGCUCGGCUAUGACCACACUGCCUGGGUGUACACUGGAGGCUAUGGAGGAGGCUUUUUCCAGGGUUUGGCCAGCAGCACAGAUAAUAUUUACACACAGACUGAUGUAAAGAGUGUUUACAUCUACGAGAACCAGAGAUGGAACCCAGUCAGCGGCUACACCAACAGAGGUCUUCCGACGGACCGCUACAUGUGGAGUGAUGUGUCUGGAUUACACGAGUGCACAAAGACGGGUACAAAACCUCCAUCUCCUCAGUGGACCUGGGUGUCCGACUGGUCUGUGGACUACAGCGUCUCGGGGGGAACUGACAGAGAAGGCUGGCAGUAUGCUGCAGAUUUCCCCGCGUCGUACAGCGGCUAUAAAACCAUAAAGGACUUUGUCCGGCGGCGGCGAUGGGCCAGGAAGUGUAAGCUGACCACAACAGGACCUUGGCAGGAGAUCCCUCCGAUCCCUCUGAGCGAUGUGACCAUCCUGCCGUGUGUAGCCCAGAGCAGCGUGGAUCUGGUUCCUGUGUGGGCCAUUGGCAACAAGGGAGACGUGCUCUGCAGACUGGGAGUCACCACACUGACACCUGCUGGAUCCUCAUGGCUCCACGUAGAAACUGACCAGCCUUUUAAGUCCAUCUCCAUCGGAGCUGCCAGCCAGGUCUGGGCCAUCGCCAGAGACGGCUCUGCCUUCCACAGGGGACUGGUAUCGCCCCAGAAGCCAGCAGGAGACUGUUGGUACCACAUCCCCUCUCCAGUUGAGCAGAAGUUGAAGCAGAUUUCUGUUGGAUGCACUUCCGUCUAUGCUGUAGAUGAAAAUGGUAACCUGUGGUACAGACAGGGGGUGACUCCCAACUGCCCUCAGGGAUCCACCUGGGAACACAUUUCUAACAACGUGCGCAAAGUCUCUGUGGGACCUCUAAAUCAGGUUUGGAUUAUAGCAGAUAAAGUUCAGGGGAGUCACAGUCUGAGCCGUGGAACGGUAUGUCAUCGACUCGGAGUCUCACCCAUGGAGCCCAAGGGGCAGUCCUGGGACUACGGCAUCGGGAAGAUGCCUGGUUAGCUGACUGUGCUAACAUUGAUGCUUUGUUGGGUUUCUCCUGCCUCCUCUCGUUGCGCUGCCUGGCACAGAUCCAGCCUGGAUUCAGACAGGGUGGAUGGGACCACAUCACGGUUAGAGCGAACUCCAUGGAGCCGUCUCACGUCCAUCCCCAGUCAGCGAGUCCAACGCCACCAUAAGCUGUAGAAAAGCGCUCAUAGGCAGGUAGCUGUCUUUAGGGCAGGUGAGCCAGUUCAACAAAACAGGGAUUUCUGCAGUCAGAUAAAUGCUGAUCUGGUCAUUUUUGGUCCUUUUUAGUAGUUAAUCUUAUUUAAGCAGACAUAGUUUUUUUGUUGCUUCCACAUAACUCUGUGUCUCAGUAGAUGUUUUAUUUUUCAUUGGUAAUUCAUCAAGAUGUGAAAUGUCUUUGUUUUUUUUUUGGUUUUCUAUGUAACUCAGGUGUCUAAAAGGUAAUGUAUAAAAUUAUAUGUUAAUGUCACUUAUCACUGCUAACAUGCUGAACUCCUGGUUUGUGUUGGUCUGGAUGCAACAGGUUAACGUUUCUCAGAUGGAUCCACCUUAAAUCUCAUAACAGAAAACAGAGAAAACCGUCUGCUUUGCUGCUCCAGAGCCAGUUCCAAAAGCUGACAGACUCAAGUCGUUUACGUUUCUACUGAUAAGCUAUUUUAAAAAGAAACUGACAUUUAAAAAUGUGAGUGUAACUAUCAGCGUUAUAGAUACAAGGAAACUGUACACUUGUUAGAGCUGCUUUAACCUUCCUCUUUCUCAGGAGAGCGUUUGCAUGUCGGCUACUUCCGUUGGUCAGAUGAUGACUGAGCAGGAAAAAAAACGUUUUAUUUUUAUUAUUGUGUCAGAAAUGAAUUGUGGAUGCUGCAGUGUUUGUGACUGGAGCAUGAGUUUAUUGUUGGAGUAUUAUAACUUGUCAGGCACUGGUGUACAGAUACUGGGUGUUAUCUGUAGAAAAAUGAUCAAACUGUCACUUUAAUAUGAUUGCAUGUGCAACGUGGAUGCUCUCACACAACAAACCAAAACAGUCAACAUCAAUAAAUAAAUGUCUUUAUUGACGACUCUU